rnacentral:rRNA from 1 species
GGAAUCUUCGGCAAUGGGGGCAACCCUGACCGAGCAACGCCGCGUGAGUGAAGAAGGUUUUCGGAUCGUAAAGCUCUGUUGUAAGAGAAGAACGUGUGUGAGAGUGGAAAGUUCACACAGUGACGGUAACUUACCAGAAAGGGACGGCUAACUACGUCACG